rnacentral:tRNA from 1 species
GGCCCAUUCGUCUAGUGGCCUAGGACAUCGCCCUCUCACGGCGGCGGCACGGGUUCGAAUCCCGUAUGGGCCU